rnacentral:rRNA from 1 species
GAUGAACGCUGGCGGCGUGCCUAAUACAUGCAAGUCGAGCGAACAGAUAAGGAGCUUGCUCCUUUGACGUUAGCGGCGGACGGGUGAGUAACACGUGGGUAACCUCCCUAUAAGACUGGGAUAACUUCGGGAAACCGGAGCUAAUACCGGAUAACAUUUGGAACCGCAUGGUUCUAAAGUGAAAGAUGGUUUUGCUAUCACUUAUAGAUGGACCCGCGCCGUAUUAGCUAGUUGGUAAGGUAACGGCUUACCAAGGCGACGAUACGUAGCCGACCUGAGAGGGUGAUCGGCCACACGGGAACUGAGACACGGUCCAGGCUCCUACGGGAGGCAGCAGUAGGGAAUCUUCCGCAAUGGGCGAAAGCCUGACGGAGCAACGCCGCGUGAGUGAUGAAGGGUUUCGGCUCGUAAAACUCUGUUAUUAGGGAAGAACAAAUGUGUAAGUAACUGUGCACGUCUUGACGGUACCUAAUCAGAAAGCCACGGCUAACUACGUG